GUUCUCCAAAGGGGAAAAAAUGAGGUUGAUGAGAAAGGCGGUUACUGGUUGAUAAGGAGGCAUUGAGAACUGCCUGCCUGCCACGUUUGAUUUUGAAAUCUCAGGCUCUUCGAAGCUUCUAUAAGGGGACAAGUAGUCACAAUGCUAUAGCUUGUAGCGGAUUGCAAAGAUGCUUGUAAAACACUCAAAGCCUAUUAAAAAUUCCCAGCAGAUCUCUUCUCCCAGAUCCUUCGCCACUCCCCACCAAUGAGCCGGUAUACAUUCAAGGGAAACAAAGAAGCAAUUCUAAAGCACAAAGGAGCUGCCCAACUAUUCCAGGAGUUUCCCCAGGCAGGGGAAAUGUGCGUCCUGACAUGCUUGGCUGGAACUGAUUGGGAACCAGACUGUGUUCACUGAGCAAGUUGAGAAAGAUUUGCCUCAAGCUUCGGCACAUUAUGAUGUCAUCUUUUGGCAUUUUAAAUAUUCAAGUGUGUAUCCUGAAAAGCCUCUUGCUUUCAUUUCUUGUUUAGGUUGAAUAAAAUAGGCCUGCUUCCAGCUUGUGCUAAUUUAAACUCUUAAGGCGAGCUUAGUUGCUCAGUCGUGCCCGACUCUUUGGAACCCUUUGGACUGUAGCAAGCCAGGUUCCUCUGUCCAUGGGAUUUUUAGGGAAAGAAUACUGGAGUGGGUUGCUAUUUCCUUUCUCCAGGGGAUCUUCCUGACCCAGAGAUCGAACCCACGUCUCCUGUGUCUCCUGUGAUUGCAGGCAGAUUCUUUACCUGCUGAGCCACUGGGGAAACCCAAAGCUCUUAAGGAGCCGGGUCUUAUCUAACCCAUUUGAGAAAAACAGUUCUGGUCUGACGGCAAGAAAGAACUGAAGUGGAAGACUGCACACUGGGUUCUGGGUCACUGCCUCGUGUGACCAGAAACGACCCAGGGACACGUUCCAGCCUCAUUUCCUCGCCGGUAAGAUGGACUAAGACAUCUUUACGGUUCCGUUCAGCUCUGAGAGUGCACGACUUGAGGACAAACGAACCAGAUAGCUAAAGGCUUGACUGUCACUUGUGGUUUCUGCUCCUUGAAAGGAGUGGGGAUUAGCUGCCAUUUAGACACAGGAAUGCAGUGCUUUGAUUAUUUGGGUGUCUGUUUUCACAGGCAUUGAAGCUGAACCCACUGCCAGCCGUAAGACCUGACCGGACCUCUCCUCUCCUUUGGAACUAAGCAGGCUGGGCUGAUAUGUGACACCAUAGAGGUGUGGCCCCCCACCAGCCCCAUUAGAUUAAACCCCACCUUGUUGCUUACUUGGUGUGUGGCCUUGGUUAACCACAAACCCACCUAAACACCCCACUGGCAAGCCCGCUGAAUACUGUUGCUUCUUACCCAGCCUCUUAGGGAUAUGAUUAGAAGACUGACUUAUAAUGUCAAGAUGUUACUUUCCUAAAGCCCUGGUUGUAACUCCAGGCAAGAUGACUGUCUUAGCCACUUCAUUCCUAGAUGAGACUGAACUCACCCGGGGUCCUUGGGGUGCACGGAAUAAAGAAUGUGGCCCAUCAAUGAUGCUACCGAUUCAGGAAGGCCCUCUAUAAAUCCAUCUCCAGGAAACAGCCAAGCAGAGAAAGCUGUAAGAAAGUGGAUCCUGGGCUGUCAAGGGCUGGAUGAAGCUUGUGACCGGUGUCAAGGAGAUGGGAUGCCAAGCCCAUGGUCAGGAAACCGUGGUUCUAUGAACCAAACUUCACAACUGCAGACAGCUGCCAAGGCCAGUGUUCAAGCACAGACAGGAGAGUGUCAGCCUCAUCUGCCAUCCAUCAGGCUCCAGUGGUUAACUCAGAGGUCAAAUUAGAGGCACUGCUCUCUGCAAGACCCGCAUAUGAAGUACAUAGGUAAAAGCUAAUACAUGUGCAUGUGGAUAAAGCACAGGGCAAGAGAGUCCAGCAAAAAAUCUUGGCAGGACAGCUGUCUCUAAAU
ensembl:lncRNA